CCCUUAGAUGUCCUGGGCUGCACGUGCGCUACACUGACACAUUCAACGAGUUUCCUUGUCCGAAAGGAUUGGGUAAUCUUCGCAAAGUGUGUCGUGCUGGGGAUAGAUUAUUGCAAUUAUUAAUCUUGAACGAGGAAUUCCUAGUAAGUGCAAGUCAUCAGCUUGCGCUGAUUACGUCCCUGCCCUUUGUACACACCGCCCGUCGCUCCUACCGAUUGAAUGGUCCGGUGAAAUCUCGGGACGGCGGCUUGGUCGCUUGCGUCCGACUGCUGAAACUUGAUUAAACCAUAUCAUUUAGAGGAAGGUGAAGUCGUAACA
rnacentral:rRNA from 1 species